GACGAACGCUGGCGGCGUGCUUAACACAUGCAAGUCGAACGGAAAGGCCUCUUUCGGGGGGUACUCGAGUGGCGAACGGGUGAGUAACACGUGAGUAACCUGCCCUUGACUUUGGGAUAACUUCAGGAAACUGGGGCUAAUACCGGAUAGGAGCUCCUGCUGCAUGGUGGGGGUUGGAAAGUUUCGGCGGUUGGGGAUGGACUCGCGGCUUAUCAGCUUGUUGGUGGGGUAGUGGCUUACCAAGGCUUUGACGGGUAGCCGGCCUGAGAGGGUGACCGGUCAAAUUGGGACUGAGAUACGGCCCAGACGCCUACGGGAGGCAGCAGUGGGGAAUAUUGCAAAAUGGGUGGAAGCAUGAUGCAGCAACGCCGUGUGCGGGAUGACGGCCUUCGGGUUGUAAACCGCUUUCGCUCAUGACGAAGCUUUGUGUGACGGUAGUGGGUAAAGAAGCACCGGCUAACUACGUG
rnacentral:rRNA from 1 species